rnacentral:misc_RNA from 1 species
AUAAUCUUGGACAAAAACAGAGAUCAUAUACAUCAAUUCUAACAUCAUCAUUGUUGUCAUCAUCGUCACCGUUGUCCUGUGGUUCAUUUCGACCCUCAAACUCAUCCUUUGGUGGUUCUUUCAAAAGGGGUUCACAGAUUUCACUUCUAAAACUCAACCAUUGGGCAUGGGAGACAUAAACAACCAAAACAUAAAUAAUAUACAUGGAAGAAAAGCCAAUGGAACCCCACAGAUUGAUAUGACCAUGAAGCAAUAUCAGGAAAACAGACAAAAGAACCAAGAGGAAGAACAAAACAUCUCGAAUGAAG